UGCAUGUUUGCAUCUGGUGCCAUACAUGGUUUCUAUUCAGGCUGAAUGUCUGUGGUCAGAAAUGAAGCAGAUACUGAUAUGAGAACUGACUGCUAUGGGCCAGAUCUGGACAUUGAUUUCACACCGCAUUCCCUAUUGAUCAGGCAUGAUCAGGUACUACAUUUCGCCUCUUAGAUGUCCCAAGUCCUCAUGAAGACUUGCCUGGUUGUUCAACGAGAAAAGGAAUUUCACAGAGAAACGGUUAUUUCCAGAUGUCUUGGCAGUAUGGUGUUGCCGCAUAUUGCAUCCAUUGUGGAUAAAAAGCAUGCAAUCCCUUAUAUAAUAGCAUAUAUAGUAAGACAUAUGUUUCUAAAAUAAGAAAAAAGUCUA